CUCGCCUCUUAAAAACAGUCAGUGGGCCUUUUGCACUGAGCCAUCAAGAAACGGCAGAGUGAAAACACCGCUUUUGGCUGAAGUGGCAGCAUGUUGUGUUGUUUCGCUUCAUUUGGUGGUGUCUGAUCU
ensembl:snoRNA